rnacentral:rRNA from 1 species
AUUGAACGCUGGCGGCAUGCCUUACACAUGCAAGUCGAACGGUAACAGGUCUUCGGAUGCUGACGAGUGGCGAACGGGUGAGUAAUACAUCGGAACGUGCCCGAUCGUGGGGGAUAACGAAGCGAAAGCUUUGCUAAUACCGCAUACGAUCUACGGAUGAAAGCAGGGGACCGCAAGGCCUUGCGCGAACGGAGCGGCCGAUGGCAGAUUAGGUAGUUGGUGGGAUAAAAGCUUACCAAGCCGACGAUCUGUAGCUGGUCUGAGAGGACGACCAGCCACACUGGGACUGAGACACGGCCCAGACUCCUACGGGAGGCAGCAGUGGUGAAUUUUGGACAAAGGGCGAAAGCCUGAUCCAGCCAUGCCGCGUGCAGGAUGAAGGCCUUCGGGUUGUAAACUGCUUUUGUACGGAACGAAAAGACUCUGGUUAAUACCUGGGGUCCAUGACGGUACCGUAAGAAUAAGCACCGGCUAACUACGUG